UUCCUACGGGACGCAGCAGUGAGGAAUAUUGGUCAAUGGUCGGGAGACUGAACCAGCCAAGCCGCGUGAGGGAUGAAGGUACAGAGUAUCGUAAACCUCUUUUGUCAGGGAACAAAGGCGGGGACGUGUCCCCGGAUGAGUGUACCUGAAGAAAAAGCAUCGGCUAACUCCGUGCCAGCAGCCGCGGUAAUACGGAGGAUGCGAGCGUUAUCCGGAUUUAUUGGGUUUAAAGGGUGCGUAGGCGGGCAUUUAAGCCGGCGGUCAAAAGUCGGGGCUCAACCCCGGCCUGCCGUCCGCACCUGGUG
rnacentral:rRNA from 1 species